rnacentral:rRNA from 1 species
CACGUAGGGCGCAAGCGUUGUCCGGAUUCAUUGGGCGUAAAGAGCUCGUAGGCGGCUUGUCGCGUCGUCCGUGAAAACCUGCGGCUCAACUGCAGGCUGGCGGUCGAUACGGGCAGGCUGGAGUUCGGUAGGGGAGACUGGAAUUCCUGGUGUAGCGGUGAAAUGCGCAGAUAUCAGGAAGAACACCCGUGGCGAAAGCGGCUCUCUGGAACGGUACUGACGCUGAGACGCGAAAGCGUGGGGAGCGAACAGG